rnacentral:rRNA from 1 species
AGUAAAUUGGUUAAGUUAGAAAGGGCGCACGGUGGAUGCCUUGGCACUAGGAGCCGAAGAAGGACGGGACUAACACCGAUAUGCUUUGGGGAGCUGUACGUAAGCGUUGAUCCAGAGAUUUCCGAAUGGGGGAACCCACUAU